rnacentral:lncRNA from 13 species
CUGAGACGGACCACAAAAAUCACUUAAUUUUAACUGUGGAAAAAGAGUCAGAAGUGAAGAUGAUCUUGUGGAAAAAACGUACCCACAUCACUUUUCUAAAAUCAAAAAUUAUAUUUAAAAAAAACUGUACAUAGCAGACGAAAAUGAAUGAGCAAAUAUGGGGCAUGAAUAAGUUUAGAAAAUUCCAGUAACUUUACCCCAAAAUGCAUAGGUUAUCCGGAUAUCCAAGUUGCAGGACUCCUGGAUUUCCUCCCGAUUCCAGGAGUCAUCCAAUCGGGAUUUCUAGAAAACCUGGGAAUUUGUCAACCAUUGAUUAGUAACAAUUUUGUUUACGGUUGUUUCCCCAGGCCCAGGUCAAGCACACUUGAGGUAAAUGUUCAGCAGAUGCUCCAGGACAGAGAGAAGAAGGUGAAGGAGAUCAAACAAUCAGUGGCGCUCAGCAGAACGAGUGCUAAUAAAAAGUUAAUGGACAGUACCCAGAUAUCCAGAGAUUUAAUAAAGUAAAUUUCCAAGAUCCAUAUUGAGCUCUAUGAUGUGAUUGAGGAGAAGCAGAAAGCAGCAGAGACACAGGCUGAAGGGCUCAUCAAAGAGCUGGAGGAGGAAAUCACUGAUCUACAGAAGAGAAGCGGUGCUCUGGAGCAGCUGUCACACACCGAGGACCACGUCUACCUCAUACAGGUACAAAACCAUAAGCCACUUUGUUCUAAGCAUCGUUUUGGAUGUGUAUUUCCCACCGGUCUUAGAAGUUGUUUGUGAGUCUGUGAAAAUAUAUUUUUUUACAAUAUGUAUUGUACACAUCAAGCAUAUCAUGAAAAAACCCAGUAUCUGGGCUUGUUGGAAAGGGGAAUAUAUGUGAUAUAGGAUUAUCUCAUGAAGGAAGUGAGAGAGUUAUUAGCUGAAAGUAAGCUUUUGUAAUAAUUUAUAAAGGCUUAUUUAUGAAAAACUAUUUUAAAGUCUUACCAAGUAUUUUAAUGUGUGGGUUGGCAGUCUUUAAAUUCUAUUUGUGAAAUUGGAUAAGAAUCAAUAUUUUCUUCCUCAGAGCUGAAAGAGAUGCAACAAUAUGCAGGUGGGUGUGAAUCAUUGUGACUAUUCACAUUUUUGGCUCUAAACUUCUGACCCACUGGAAUUGUGAUACAAUGAAGUGUAAGUGAAAUAAUCUGUCUGUAAACAAUUGUUGUAAACAUUACUUGUGUCAUGCACACAUUUAUUGUCCUAACUUACUUGCCAAAACUAUAGUUUCUUAAAACUUCCUUGUGAUAGGGGAAAGUAUUUUCACUUUUGGAUGAAUUCUGUGCCCAUAGUGAACUGCCUCCUUGUUAGGAAUUUUAUGAAAUGACUAAACAAUGUGUACAUUUAAAUAAACUAUAACUAAUUAAACUCUAGCCUGUUUUACAAUAUCUGAUUAAAACCUGUUAGGGAUAGGGGGCAGCAUUUUCACUUCGGAUGAAUUGCGUGCCCAUAGUGAACUGCAUCCUACUCUGUCGUAGAUGCUAAUAUAUGCAUAUUAUUUAUUACUAUUGGAUAGGAAACACUCUGGAGUUUCUAAAACUGUUUGAAUUAUGUCUGUGAGUAUAACAGAACUCAUAUGACAGGCAAAAACCUGAGGACAAAUCCAAACAGGAAUUAAGAAUUCUGAGACUGGUCGAUGUUCA